rnacentral:rRNA from 1 species
CCUACGGGAGGCAGCAGUGAGGAAUAUUGGUCAAUGGUCGGGAGACUGAACCAGCCAAGCCGCGUGAGGGAUGAAGGUACAGCGUAUCGUAAACCUCUUUUGUCAGGGAACAAAGGCGGGGACGUGUCCCCGGCUGAGUGUACCUGAAGAACAAGCAUCGGCUAACUCCGUGCCAGCAGCCGCGGUAAUACGGAGGAUGCGAGCGUUAUCCGGAUUUAUUGGGUUUAAAGGGUGCGCAGGCGGUCUGUUAAGUCAGCGGUCAAAGCCCGGGGCUCAACCCCGGCCCGCCGUUGAAACUGGCAGUCUCGAGUGGGAGAGAAGUAUGCGGAAUGCGCGGUGUAGCGGUGAAAUGCAUAGAUAUCGCGCAGAACUCCGAUUGCGAAGGCAGCAUGCCGGCUCCACACUGACGCUGAGGCACGAAAGCGUGGGUAUCGAACAGGAUUAGAUACCCGGGUAGUC